rnacentral:rRNA from 1 species
UGGGGAAUAUUGCACAAUGGGCGCAAGCCUGAUGCAGCCAUGCCGCGUGUGUGAAGAAGGCCUUCGGGUUGUAAAGCACUUUCAGCGGGGAGGAAGGCGUUAAGGUUAAUAACCUUGGCGAUUGACGUAACCCGCAGAAGAAGCACCGGCUAACUCCGUGCCAGCAGCCGCGGUAAUACGGAGGGUGCAAGCGUUAAUCGGAAUUACUGGGCGUAAAGCGCACGCAGGCGGUCUGUCAAGUCGGAUGUGAAAUCCCCGGGCUCAACCUGGGAACUGCAUUCGAAACUGGCAGGCUAGAGUCUUGUAGAGGGGGGUAGAAUUCCAGGUGUAGCGGUGAAAUGCGUAGAGAUCUGGAGGAAUACCGGUGGCGAAGGCGGCCCCCUGGACGAAGACUGACGCUCAGGUGCGAAAGCGUGGGGAGCAAACAGG